CCUAGAAAGGAUCUAAUGGAUCGUUGCCAACAGCUUUGAAAGACAUCAUCGGUAGAUGCUUCUAAAUACGGCUCAUGCACGCCCGAUGGGACGAUACCAUUACCUGAGAUUGAGGUCUAGGAAGUCACCCCAUCUACCUUGUAGUUUAAGCUCUUCAGCCCACCGCUAUUGAGAUGCAUACCAAGACCUGAGUAUACCCGUCUAGAUCCGCUUCAAAGCCAAGCAAAUAUACACAUCCAUCGAUAUAGGCCGUCUACGGAUCUUAGCUGGGGCUGCCGGUUUCUCCUCGCUGGAAAUCCAAUUUAGACUUGGUCGUCGGGAGCAGGUACGUAGUUGAAGUAGAGACUGCUCCGAGUGCCUCGACCAGAGAGGUAACCCUGAAGUAGAACCCAGCCGGGCCACUACCGGGGGCCGCGAUGAGUCGGUGCCUAGGCCCCCAUUUUUUUUAAAUAAAAACAUCCUCAUAAAUGGUUUCCAGAUGAUAACUUGACUCCG